rnacentral:rRNA from 1 species
GACGAACGCUGGCGGCGUGCUUAACACAUGCAAGUCGAACGGUAAGGCCCUUCGGGGUACACGAGUGGCGAACGGGUGAGUAACACGUGGGUGAUCUGCCCUGCACUUCGGGAUAAGCCUGGGAAACUGGGUCUAAUACCGGAAAGGACCCUGGGAUGCAUGUACUGGGGUGGAAAGCUUUUGCGGUGUGGGAUGGGCCCGCGGCCUAUCAGCUUGUUGGUGGGGUGAUGGCCUACCAAGGCGACGACGGGUAGCCGGCCUGAGAGGGUGACCGGCCACACUGGGACUGAGAUACGGCCCAGACUCCUACGGGAGGCAGCAGUGGGGAAUAUUGCACAAUGGGCGCAAGCCUGAUGCAGCGACGCCGCGUGAGGGAUGACGGCCUUCGGGUUGUAAACCUCUUUCAGCACCGACGAAGCGCAAGUGACGGUAGGUGCAGAAGAAGGACCGGCCAACUACGUGCCAGCAGCCGCGGUAA